UAGGAGAUAAAACAUUUCGCCAAGACCACCAAACAGUCAAAACUUUAGUUAGCAGAUCGGAAAAUUCUUAUCCAGAGACUACUUGAUCAAACUACAAAGUCAUAUCAUAACCAACACAUCGUCCCUUCACAUAGAAAUUCAAUAUAGCUGUUUCAUUUCAUCAGCAACGUGCAUAAUCAUUUACGUUGUUUUCUUCAUAUUAACUGCCAUAAACGUAACUAAUUACGAGAUUAAGAGAAUUAAAUUUAGCUGAAAAUUAGAGAACUAAUGCAAAUUCAAACUCCGAAACAAGCAACCUAAUAAUCAAAGCUGAUUAUGUUAACAUAGUACCAAAAUAUAGGAGAGCUACGAAGAGGAACCUGACGGUGAAAACAAUGAGCAGCUUAGAAAGCGAAGGAUUAUCACGGAAAGUUUUCGAAAAUCUCUCGAUCACUGUUACUCUCUGCAUUUUGCGUUCAAUUUAAGCGAUCUCACCUUGCCUUUUGUUCACCUAUCAACAGAAACAAAAGCAUCCAUAAAUUCGCCAUAAAUUAACACAGCUAUACUACUAACGCUACAAAAUCUCAGAAAUAUCACCUUAAAGUCACUUCAGGUACCAAUAGAAAUCAAAGCGUUUACGAAUUCUUACAUGGACCUAUACAAAUAUACUACAAAAUAUAUACCUGAGUUUUGCUGUUGCGUAGAGAGAGAACGUGGUGUGAGUUGUAGAAAAGGAGAGAGAAUCAAUGACAAGAAGAGAACAUGGAAAUGUGCAAAGUUUUUCCCCCCUGAGAAAUGGGAAUUGGGAAGGUGAAGAGUCAAAGAGAGUCAGGAAGCUUCUAAUACUUUCCAGCUUAGAGCAGCGCUGGUCUUUGCUUAACGUGAUGCCCAAGAAUUAGACACAUGUAUUUUGGAAGGCGGAGUGCAUUUUUGCUCUGUUGUCUCCGGAGGUGUUU
rnacentral:lncRNA from 1 species